AGAACGAACGCUGGCGGCAUGCCUAACACAUGCAAGUCGAACGAGAUCCUUCGGGGUCUAGUGGCGCACGGGUGCGUAACGCGUGGGAAUCUGCCCUUAGGUUCGGAAUAACAGUUAGAAAUGACUGCUAAUACCGGAUAAUGACGUAAGUCCAAAGAUUUAUCGCCUAGGGAUGAGCCCGCGUAGGAUUAGCUUGUUGGUGGGGUAAAAGCUCACCAAGGCGACGAUCCUUAGCUGGUCUGAGAGGAUGAUCAGCCACACUGGGACUGAGACACGGCCCAGACUCCUACGGGAGGCAGCAGUGGGGAAUAUUGGACAAUGGGCGAAAGCCUGAUCCAGCAAUGCCGCGUGAGUGAUGAAGGCCUUAAGGUUGUAAAGCUCUUUACCCGGGAUGAUAAUGACAGUACCGGAGAAGUAAGCUCCGGCUAACUCCGUGCCAGCAGCCGAC
rnacentral:rRNA from 1 species